CCUACGGGAGGCAGCAGUGAGGAAUAUUGGUCAAUGGCCGGAAGGCUGAACCAGCCAAGCCGCGUGAGGGAGGAAGGCGCAGAGCGUCGCAGACCUCUUUUGCCGGGGGACAAAAGGCCGGACUCGUCCGGUCCUGCAGGUACCCUGAGAAAAAGCGUCGGCUAACUCCGUGCCAGCAGCCGCGGUAAUACGGAGGAGGCGAGCGUUAUCCGGAUUCAUUGGGUUUAAAGGGUGCGCAGGCGGGCCUUUAAGCCGGCGGUGAAAUCGCGGGGCUCAACCCCGCCGCGCCGUCGGAACUGGGGGCGUUGAGUGCGGAGGAGGCAGGCGGAAUGCGCGGUGUAGCGGUGAAAUGCAUAGAUAUCGCGAAGAACCCCGAUUGCGAAGGCAGCGUGCCGUGGCGCGACUGACGCUGAGGCACGAAAGUGCGGGGAUCGAACAGGAUUAGAUACCCGAGUAGUC
rnacentral:rRNA from 1 species